rnacentral:lncRNA from 1 species
AGCAAUGGUCUCUUAUGGAAAUCAGUCUUUCCCAGGUGAUCUCCCGUUCGGUCCUGCUAUUUCUUAUCUCCUCUAUGCACUAGGAGUUCCAGUGCACGGGACUUUUCUGGUUGAAUCUCCGCUUCAUAAUCUUCGGCCUAGUCAUGUUCUCCGGGAGGUUGGGUGGGAGCACCUACAGCCUGGCUCUGGCUCAGGGGGAGAAGCUC